UACGAAGGGGGGCUAGCGUUGUUCGGAAUCACUGGGCGUAAAAGCGCACGUAGGCGGAUCUUUAAGUCAGAGGUGAAAAGCCUGGAGCUCAACUCCAGAACUGCCUUUUGAUACUGGGGAUCUCGAGUCCGGGAGAGGUGAGUGGAACUGCGAGUGUAGAGGUGAAAAUUCGUAGAUAUUAGGAAGAACACCAGUGGCGAAGGCGGCUUACUGGUCCGGAACUGACGCUGAGGUGCG
rnacentral:rRNA from 1 species